AUGCUGAAAUAGUUCCACCACCUCCACCUGAGUAGUUUCAAGUCCCGAAAAGACGUGCUGCUCAUCGACGUCACCUUAGAAGCCCAGAUUCGAGAAGGCGAUACUCCCUUAGCCUCUGAUCAGGGCAUGAUUCAAACCCAGGCCAUCAGUCUCCUCAUCAAUCAGCAACUCAAACUGCUCAAGAUCCUAAAGUCGAGUGGAGACUCUAAGAUUUGAACUAAUGGAUUGAAGCAAUCCGUAACCAUAUCACUCCACCACCUGAUGAG
rnacentral:lncRNA from 1 species